CUUGGAGGAAUGUAUAGCGAAAGCUACUUGCAUUUAGCUUAGUUAAUAAAUGCAGGAUUGACUAUGUCGAAUAAAGUUCUAGGUGGGUUAUGAUGAUGACAUUUCCUAUCUAUGUGUCUUGACCAAACUACGUGCCAGCAGUCGCGGUAACACGUAAUAGACUAGUGUUAUUCAUCUUUAAUAGGUUUAAAGGGUACCUAGACGGUAAAUCAAGUCCAAGAAGGGUACUAAUUUGCUAGAGUUUAAUGUGAGGGGGCACUAAAGUACUGAUAAGUGUAGAGAUGAAAUUCUGUGAUACAAUAUACGGCACUGGCAAAGGCGAAAGCAUCUCAUUAUGUAAUAACUGACGUUGAGGGACGAAGGCUAGGUGUAGCAAAAAGGAUUAGAUACCCAAGUAGUCUUAGCAGAAAAUUAUGAAUGUCAUAGGAUGGAGAUACAACAAAUUUUUUUUCUAUAAAUGAAAGUGUAAGCAUUCCACCUCGAGAGUAAUUUGGCAACAUUGGAACUGAAAUCAUUAGACCGUUUCUGAAACAAGUAGUGAAGUAUGUUGUUUAAUUUGAUGGUCCGCAAAAAACCUUACCACAAUUUGAAUAGAAAUUUUUUUUUCGUACAAGCGCUGCACGGUUGUCUUCAGUUAAUGUCGUGAGAUCUUGGUUAGUUCCAUUAAAUUAACGUAAACCCUUACUUUAUUUUGAUAUAGAGUAGUUCACCGCUAGAUUGGAUGUGAUAACAGGGA
rnacentral:rRNA from 1 species